GCCUCCCAGUAAGCAAUUGUUAUAGUCUUAGUCCGACUUGUUGCAACAAUGUUUUCACGGCACUUUGGAUAGGGCUUUAGAGGUCUCAUUUAGUUUGUAGGUUGACUUUGCAACAUAUUUCAAAUGUUCUCCAAACCUUUAAUUUGUUGGUAAAAAAGUAGGAAUUAACUAUACGAAUUUCAGCUUCUUCAUUGACCUUAGGAUUGCAUGAUAAUUCCGACUUCAUUUGAUGGCAUUGCUUCGUUAUGAUCAAUUCUUCAUUCUCAACAAGCUCUUAUUUUUUAGUUGUUUCCUCUUGUUGAAUGGUCGGUCCAUUAUCAAAAGUUACGAGCAAUUGCACAGUGAAGUUUUCAUGGAAAAUCUCCCUUUCUACUUGCGGAUUAGUGGAAUUAUAACUAUUUUGAUUUUUUCAACUAAGGCCAUGUUUGAUAGGGCCAAAUUCCAUGGAAAAUUCCAUUUUCCAUCCAUUUUGUGAUGUUUGAUAGCAAAAUCUUACAUGGAAUUUGGUUUUCUUGAAAAUUGAAAUUUUC
rnacentral:lncRNA from 1 species